rnacentral:rRNA from 1 species
AAAACUUUCAACAAUGGAUCUCUUGGUUCCGGCAUCGAUGAAGAACGCAGCGAACUGCGAUAAGUAAUGUGAAUUGCAGAAUUCAGUGAAUCAUCGAGUCUUUGAACGCACAUUGCGCCCCCUGGCAUUCCGGGGGGCAUGCCUGUCCGAGCGUCAU